rnacentral:lncRNA from 10 species
AUUAGAGUUCAUCCCUGGCAUUUUACAUCUGUAUCCUGAGAGACUGAUUUGGAAUAUCCAAGCUUCAAGUUUGCUGAAUUCAUAUCUACUCUCUCUCAGAAGCCAUCUGGCCAAUAAGCAGAGAGUGGAGCCCAGCAAAGAGAUGGGCUUGAAGAAACAAAGUAACUUAACCAAGUGAUCAAACCAGGAUUGAGUCUUGUUCAUCAACUCCUGAGCUACCUUCGUGGAAGAUGACGGUAUGGAUAUGAAAUGGAAGGCUGAACAGGAAAGGUGCUGUCAGAGUCGCCUUAUGUGUUUCCUGGGACUGCUGUAGUCAAGUAUCACCAGCUGGGUGGCUUAAACAGUAGAAAUAUAUUGUCUCAGUUCUGGAGGCUACAAGUUUGAAAUCAAGGUGGCAGCAGGAUUGGUUCCUUUUGGGGAAUAUAAGACAGAAUCUGUUUCGCAUCCUCUCUCCCAGCUUCUAAUACCCUCAGGGGUUUCUUGGCUUGUAGAUGGUGACUCUGUGUCCAAAUUCCUCUAUUCUAUAAGGACACCAGUGAUACUGGAUUAGGUUUCACACUAGUGACUUCAUCUUAACCUGAUUACCUCUGUAAAAACUGUAUCUCCCAAUAAGGUCACAUCCUGAGGUACAAGGGAUUAUGACUCCAACAUAUCUUUUGUGGAGGGGAGGCAGAACACAGCCCACCCCUAACAGUCAGUGACUUUUUAUUUUCUUUUUUGAGACAGAGUCUCGCUCUGUUGCCCAGGCAGGAGUGCAGUCGUGUGAUCUUGGCUCACUGCAACCUCUGCCUCCCGAGUUCAAGCAAUUCUCCUGCCUCAGCCUCCUGAGUACCUGAGACUACAGGCAAGCACCACCGUGCCGAAUUUUUUGUAUUUUUUUAGUAGAGACGGGGUUUCACCAUGUUGGCCAGGGUGGUCUUGAACUCCUGACCUCAGGUGAUCCGCCUGCCUCGGCCUCCCAAAGUGCUGGGAUUACAAGUGUGAGCCACCACGUCCGGCCCCAAACUCUGACUUAACAUUGAGUUGUUCAUACCCUCAGGUGGGCUUGCAUCCCUGACUUCACAUCAAUUCAUAAAGUCUGAAUGGUCCUAGAAUGUACUCUAAAUUCAGGGGAAAAAAGAACAUAUAAGCUUUUAGCUGGAAGCCUGCUGAGUAUUCCUUAAGCUACUUUAAAAUUCUGCCACACACUCUAGGAUAUCUGUUAUUACAAUCUUUUCGAAUUCUGAAGAACUCUGAAGAACUUUUGUUCACAGCACCUGUGGGUCUGCUUAACUCUUAGCAUUGGUUCAAAUGGAAUGUCCUCUUUAUUUUCAAAUUGCUUCAAGGUUUAUUUUUGAAAUCAAGUUUUCAUUUCCUACAGAUUUCACAAAGUUUGGUGCAUCUGGAAAAGAAUGCUUAGGGCAUCGGAAAUGUGUUUUGGAACAUAGACGUUAAUUUACAAAUAAAAGGGUUGAUGUCUGAACAUCAGACAUCAUUUAAAAAAAGGGCUUUUCUUAAGAAAAUAGGACUAUUGGCUGGGCGCCGUGGCUCACGCCUGUAAUCCCAGCACUUUGGGAGGCCAA